rnacentral:rRNA from 1 species
UAGGGAAUCUUCCGCAAUGGACGCAAGUCUGACGGAGCAACGCCGCGUGAGUGAAGAAGGAUUUCGGUUCGUAAAACUCUGUUGUUAGAGAAGAACAGCGCAUAGAGUAACUGUUAUGCGUGUGACGGUAUCUAACCAGAAAGCCACGGCUAACUACGUGCCAGCAGCCGCGGUAAUACGUAGGUGGCAAGCGUUGUCCGGAUUUAUUGGGCGUAAAGCGAGCGCAGGCGGUCAAUUAAGUCUGAUGUGAAAGCCCCCGGCUCAACCGGGGAGGGUCAUUGGAAACUGGUUGACUUGAGUGCAGAAGAGGAGAGUGGAAUUCCAUGUGUAGCGGUGAAAUGCGUAGAUAUAUGGAGGAACACCGGUGGCGAAAGCGGCUCUCUGGUCUGUAACUGACGCUGAGGCUCGAAAGCGUGGGUAGCAAACAGG